rnacentral:lncRNA from 2 species
AAUGCUCUGCUCGUUCCUGAAGAAGUCGGUGGGAUCCACCUUGGCCUUCGUCCUGGCGAGCCUCUCGAAGUUGCCCUUGAAGUACUUCUCGCCCCACACCUUGCCGACCUGGUAGCAGGAGACGUUGGCACCGGCCUCGACGGCGUUGACGCCGAGGUCGAGGUCCCUGUAGUUGACGUACGCCUGCCUCGGGUUCUUGGUGACGUACGGCUCCAUGAACGCGUAGAAGUCCCUGAUCCACUUGAUCGGCGCCUCCGCCGGCGCGCCCUCGCCGAACCAGAAGGUGAUGUACUGGAUGUUGUACAGCAUCCCCUUCCGGUGCGGGAACGGCGUGUCCGCCUCGCCGGGUUUGCUGAUGGUGGCGCCGUACGGGUCCAUGAUCAUGAUGCCGGAGCCCGGCUUGGAGAACCAGUCCUUAGUCCCUCGAACACGGCCUUCUGCGCCUGCGCCAUCACGCGGAUCAUCAGGUCUUCCGGGAACGUCGGCGCGAGGGACUGCCACUUGGUGAGGAGGUCGACGGCGCCCUCGUUCACCAUCUUGGGCAUCUGGAUCACCGUCACCGUCGCCGGCACCGGCAACAGCCUCAGCUUCCACGACACCACGAUCCCGAAGCUCGAGCCGCCGCCGCCGCGGACGGCCCAUAAGUAG